rnacentral:piRNA from 1 species
UAGCCUGUUAUAGUGGACAGCUUGCUGC